rnacentral:lncRNA from 1 species
UCAGCAGCAGCAGCGCCCAGGUCGCAGGUGUCGGUGGCUUCGGCCGUGGGAGCAGCGGCCCAACCGCACACGGACAGAUUGCACGGGAAUGUACACAAGCAUCCUCUUGGACAGGGGCAAGGUGCAUGCCGGGUGCACAAGCCAGUACCAGCGCACGGAUCUCAGCCAGUGGCGUCGCCCGCUGCGGCGAUGGAGGACGACAAGGCAAAGGCAGCAGGGAACGGAGAGGGGAGCGCUGCUGGGUUGCCUGGGGGUGAGUAUAGAGGACCUGGGCGGUAGGUCAGCAGGACGCUGGAGGGUUCUGGAUCACCCUCAGAACGGAGCGCAGCUUGGACAACUAGGGGGUGUGAGUGAGCAGCUGUUGAGAGCACGAUCUGGGUUGUCGCAUUGGUGUGUUUUGCCGUACCGUGCGUUGGGCCUAGCGAGCGUGCAUCUGGUGUGUCUGGAGUGAGGACGUUGAGGAGGGGACUUGGGCGCGUGUAACCAAG